rnacentral:rRNA from 1 species
UAACACCGGCAGCCCGAGUGGUGAUCACUAUUAUUGGGUCUAAAGGGUCCGUAGCCGGUUUAAUCAGUCUUCUGGGAAAUCUAAUCGCUUAACUAUUAGGCUUCCAGGGGAUACUGUUAGACUUGGGACCGGGAGAGGUAAGAGGUACUGCAGGGGUAGGAGUGAAAUCUUGUAAUCCCUGUGAGACCACCAGUGGCGAAGGCGUCUUACCAGAACGGGUCCGACGGUGAGGGACGAAAGCUGGGGGCACGAACCGGAUUAGAUACCCGGGUAGUCCCAGCUGUAAACGAUGCUCGUUAGGUGUCAGGAACGGUGCGACUGUUUCUGGUGCUGAAGGGAAGCCGUGAAACGAGCCACCUGGGAAGUACGGCCGCAAGGCUGAAACUUAAAGGAAUUGGCGGGGGAGCACUACAACGGGUGGAGCCCGCGGUUUAAUUGGACUCAACGCCGGAAAACUCACCGGGGGCGACAGCAAUAUGUAGGUCAGGUUAAAGGUCUUACCUGAAUCGCUGAGAGGAGGUGCAUGGCCGUCGUCAGUUCGUACUGUGAAGCAUCCUGUUAAGUCAGGCAACGAGCAAGACCCGUGCCCACUGUUACCAGCAUAUCCUUUAUGGAUGAUGGGGACUCUGUGGGGACCGCUGCUGCUAAAGCAGAGGAAGGUGCGGGCUACGGUAGGUCAGUAUGCCCCGAAUCUCCCGGGCUACACGCGGGCUACAAUGGUUGGGACAAUGGGUAUCUACUCCGAAAGGAGUUGGCAAUCUCUUAAACCCAAUCGUAGUUCGAAUUGAGGGCUGUAACUCGCCCUCAUGAAGCUGGAAUCCGUAGUAAUCGCGUUUCAACAUAGCGCGGU